rnacentral:lncRNA from 1 species
CUGGAAUUUCUGAACGAUGCAAUCACCAUGAAAUGUGAUUUACCUAUCUUGGCAUAAAGAAUGAUAUGGACGGUGUAUCUUCUAUCAUUGUAGGUUGAUAAUAACUGUUUCUAAAAGGAAGUCAGGGAGACGGCAGAAAUCUUUCUAUCUACCGCUGCACUGACCACCAUAUUAGGAACAGCUGUUGUUUUCCCCGUCCAAUCAUGAUAAUCCUAUUAAAAAAUA